UGGGGAAUAUUGCACAAUGGGCGAAAGCCUGAUGCAGCAACGCCGCGUGAAGGAAGAAGGUCUUCGGAUCGUAAACUUCUGUCCUAGGGGAAGAAGAACUGACGGUACCCUUGGAGGAAGCCCCGGCUAACUACGUGCCAGCAGCCGCGGUAAUACGUAGGGGGCAAGCGUUAUCCGGAAUUAUUGGGCGUAAAGAGUGCGUAGGUGGUUCUUUAAGCGCAGGGUUUAAGGCAAUGGCUCAACCAUUGUUCGCCCUGCGAACUGGAGGACUUGAGUGCAGGAGAGGAAAGCGGAAUUCCUAGUGUAGCGGUGAAAUGCGUAGAUAUUAGGAGGAACACCAGUGGCGAAGGCGGCUUUCUGGACUGUAACUGACACUGAGGCACGAAAGCGUGGGGAGCAAACAGG
rnacentral:rRNA from 1 species